rnacentral:lncRNA from 1 species
UUUAAGGGUUCUGCAAGCAGAUAAUCCUGAAGGUUGCAUAAGUUUAGCAGCUGAGGAGCUGUCAGCUUAGAACAAUAAUGCAUCAAAGAGAUCCACCAAAUCAGCAGUCCAGCCCACAUAGACCAAUGUACCUGUGAGACACAGAAUAAUCAGAACCCAGAGAUGACAACCAAAGAAGAAAAUGGAGAAGAGACUAUAUCUAGGAUUGAUUAAAGUCAGGGAGCAAAUAUCAGAGGCUGGUACAAGGGCUCUAUGGUAUCAUCAACGUUCUGGCAUCCUACUUUCUUGCAUUGCCAUUCUUUGUGCAUGGAUUCCAUCUUCAAGUUUACCUCACAGUCACUAUAUGGCUACUGCAACUCUAACCAUUUCAUCUGUA